rnacentral:tRNA from 1 species
GCUGCGAAAGACGCAGUCGAAGUGUCGGCGCCGUGGCUCACGAAGAGCGAGCAGUACCUCCGCCACUUCACG